rnacentral:misc_RNA from 1 species
GAUGAAGGACGCAGCGAAAUGCGAUAAGUAAUGUGAAUUGCAGAAUUCAGUGAAUCAUCGAAUCUUUGAACGCACAUUGCGCCCGCCAGUAUUCUGGCGGGCAUGCCUGUCUGAGCGUCAUUUCAACCCUCAUGCCCCUAGGGCGUGGUGUUGGGGAUCGGCCAAAGCCCGCGAGGGACGGCCGGCCCCUAAAUCUAGUGGCGGACCCGUCGUGGCCUCCUCUGCGAAGUAGUGAUAUUCCGCAUCGGAGAGCGACGAGCCCCUGCCGUUAAACCCCCAACUUUCCAAGGUUGACCUCAGAUCAGGUAGGAAUACCCGCUGAACUUAAGCAUAUCAAUAAGCGGAGGA